CGCCUACGGGGCGCAGCAGUCGAGAAUCAUUCACAAUGGGGGAGACCCUGAUGCAGCGACGCCGCGUGAGCGAUGAAGUAUUUCGGUAUGUAAAGCUCUAUCAGCAGGGAAGAAAAUGACGGUACCUGACUAAGAAGCCCCGGCUAACUACGUGCCAGCAGCCGCGGUAAUACGUAGGGGGCAAGCGUUAUCCGGACUUACUGGGUGUAAAGGGAGCGUAGACGGCGGUGCAAGCCAAAUGUGAAAGCCCGGGGCUCAACCCCGGGACUGCAUUUGGAACUGUGCUGCUAGAGUGUCGGAGAGGC
rnacentral:rRNA from 1 species